rnacentral:rRNA from 1 species
UACGGGGGGAGCAAGCGUUGUUCGGAUUUACUGGGCGUAAAGGGCGCGUAGGCGCCAGCACAAGUCAGUUGUGAAAUCUCCGGGCUUAACUCGGAAAGGUCAACUGAUACUGUGCGGCUAGAGUGCAGAAGGGGCAACUGGAAUUCUCGGUGUAGCGGUGAAAUGCGUAGAUAUCGAGAGGAACACCUGCGGCGAAGGCGGGUUGCUGGGCUGACACUGACGCUGAUGCGCGAAAGCCAGGGGAGCGAACGGG